UAAACUAUAACCUCAGAUCCACAUCAGCUUUCACCCUUAACAAAACCAGAUCACUACGCCUAUAAAAAUAUUAGAUCAAUUCUCAGAAAUAGUUUAGUGACAAGCCAGCAUAGUUCUUUAAAAUCCUUUUCCACCUUGACUGAUUCUUCUGUUGUCGUUGUGUCUCCUUGGCAUUACACUCCACCCAGAAUCCCAGCUCUCUUCCUCUCAUCUUCCCACUCUUCUUGGGGUCUAUCUUACGAGGGAUUCCCUCUGGCUCUCUCUUUCUCUGCUCCCUGUUCUCUUGCCUCACUCACCCUUUCCCACAAUGUCAAAUAUUCUGCCAACCAGCAUGCCUUUUCCAAACAUAUCUCUGCACAAUAAGGGAGUGGAGUGUACCAUGGGCCUCCUCUUCCUGUUCCUCGCUCCCUCUUGCUGCAUGGAGUAAAAAACUGUCAGGGAAGGCAGUGUGGAGACUGAGCAGCAUAGCAAAGGAAAACCUUAUCCUCCAUAUCUCUCCCCCCAAGAUGUUUUCAAAGUUAUGCAAGGUUUCAUUAGUACAAUGGAACUACAUGUUUAGGCCCCCCCCCCCCCCCCGAGAAAUUGUUGGUUACAUGUUGCACAACCACCUCCCAUUACACAAAUGCAACCCAUAUAUUCCUCUGACCCUUUAUUUUUUGUUGCAUAAGAAGACCUGCAGGCAUUGGUGGCUUUACUCUUUGCCAAGUUACAUUCUAUAUCCACAUAGGAAUCCAAGAAGAAAGAGAAAGAAAGAGGAAUGAUGUCGGAUCUGUUAAAAAAAUAACAUCUUCAGUUCAACCUGUGAUUUAUAGUCAGCAUUGGAGUUCUGUUAUACAUCCAGCCACUCACAGAUGUUAAUCUGGUCAGUCAUCAAGAUGAGGGUUAUUUUCAGUUGUAACAAGCAAAGCUGGGAACCUUUUCCCAAGGCAGAACUAGAAGCUGGUGGCAGUACUGAAGAGAGAGAUAAGAUGGCACCAAUGGUUUCCUGCAUCCAGAUGAUUGAGCUACUUCACCACAUUGGUUUAAAGACACCAUAGUUUGGUAUGACAACUUUAUUGGACUAAAGAUGGUUAUCAUACAUUACCUUUAAACCACACUCAGGGCACUCAAUUUGAACCAGAAAGUCAAAGAAAAAAUCAUCACCAAGUGUGAGGAGAUGGCAAAGAGGGAGUGCAAGAAGAGUACAUUCCUGGUAUGCUUACUUCUGUCAUCUGAACACAGCCUCGCAGGCUAACCUUCUUAACACAGUGGAAUGUCUGUCAAAGACAUAUAGAUGGCCAGAAUGGACAAAACAAAAACUGAAGGGGAAAAGCUUCCACAAACAGCAAGGAAAUAUUAGGAGGCUGUGAGUGUUUGCAGCAAAGAGCCAAUGAGAUAUCAUGCCCAGGAAUCAGCAUGAGGACAAACUGGAAGAAUGACUGAUGUGGGGCCUUUGCAACCUGGUCUGGAGCUCGCCUCAACAGCUGUGAGGAGACUUUUUCAGCUUUUAUCUGGAUGUUUUCAGACACAAAGGAAUUUUCCAAGACGAGAAGCUCACCUACUAAGUAACUCAUCGGCUAUGUAUCAUAACUGGUUUGUAAAACGUUCUCACAAGGCUCCUCAGUGAAGGCUAUGGGAUUCUCCACAGCUUGGGAAAACACCUUUUUUGGACUAUAGCUCCCAAACCUCUUCAACCAGGUUAUUGGCUGGAAUAUUGUGGGGGUUGGAGUCCCAAAAAAGGACCUUUGCCAAAGUGUCAGAUAAACCUUUGUUUUGUUUUUAAAAAACCCAGGCUUGCAUCAGUCAGACAGAAUCAUGGGAUAUUAAAUUCACUUCCUCUAGAAUGUACAGUUUGGAUCAGAAGCAUCCAUGUUGCUGUCCUUGCUGCCUCCAAAUUUAGCUCUCUCGCUCUCCUUCAUAAGCCCCUGGGGAAAUCUCUUUGCAGAUGUGCUGCUCAUACCCUGGCUUCAUUCCUCUUCUCCGGUUCUGUUUUGCUCAGAGGCAAGGAUGGCACCCUGGAAGACACAGAUGAAGGAGGCUGUUAUGUCACAACUAUUAAGCUUGAUAUUGGGUGUCUUUCUGGGAGCAAGAAAUUGUGAUUCACAGCUAGAAUUUCUUUUCCUCUUCCUAUUGCAUUGCUUUCUGCAUUUCUGGACAACAAAGGAAGAAGGGAGAAAAUACUGCCACCAUUGCAUAAAUUCCUCUAAUUCUCAUCUUGCAAAUGGCAGCGUGCAGAAGAAUGAGGAAGUACUCAAUCAAAGGACUCACUGUCACAAUGGACACAAUGAAGUGGCAACUCCCCCUGUGGCUGGAAUCGAGCCGGAAUCCAGCAUACCCUCAUGAAGCCGGAAAAAGCUUGGGCACAGCUGGAAUGUUAAACUGCCUCUAUGUCUGUUCAUAUGUGUUGUAUGUCUAACUGGCACUGAAUGUUUGCCAUGUAUAUGUACAUUGUAAUCUGCCCUGAGUCCCCUGAGGGGUGAGAAGGGUGGAAUAUAAAUACUGUAAAUAAAAUUUAAAAAAAUAAAAUAAAAUUCUGACAAUGAAA